ACUUGGACAAAAUGGAUGCGAC
rnacentral:miRNA from 1 species